UAUUCCAAUCCUCAACAUCUAAUCUACAACGCAGAAGACCGGCAAGUGCUUUCACUGCUAGAGGCAGGCCUUUGCAUCUUUUGACAAUUCCUUCACCGAUUGCCUUCAAAUUUGGACGCAAGCUUGGGCUUGUAUUAACAAAUGCAUGUUUUGCAAAUAACAACCAACAAUCCUCAUCAGACAACUCACUGAGAUGAUGAGUUGGAACAGUCCCCAUAGUGCGUGCAACCUCUUGAUUACGUGUUGUUCAAUAAUCUUGCUAUUUUUUGCCCCAAAAUUGGAAGGACUUCUCAACUCUUCCCAAUCAACAUAUUUCUCGUUUCAAACAUCGUCCAAAACAAAUAGAAACCUCUUUCCCAAUAGCUUCUCCUUCAAUUGAAGUUGAAGCUGAUUUAGGUUCUGACUAUCAUCACUGCUAGCAGUGAUUUCUUCAAGCAUGGUUUUGGUUACCCUUAAAGCAUCAAAUUCAUCUGAAACACACACCCAUGCUUUGACGUCAAACCAUUUCUCCACGCUCUCGUCAUUGUAGAUCCAUUGUGCAAGGGUGGUUUUACCAACCCUUCCCAUACCCACUAUUGAAAUCACAUCGAUCUGAUUUGCACUUGCAUAUUCUGGGUUCAGAAACUCCAUGAUCGCUUCUUUUUCAUCAUGUCUACCAUAAACACCCGAUUCAUCCACCAGAGAAGUUGCAAGUGGUCUUGGAAAUGACUUUUCUCCUCUACUUUCUUUCAAACCCAGGAUGUCUUUUUGGUUGACUAAACAUUCUAGUCUCUCAAGGAUUUCUUCUAGUUUUGAUCCCAUCCCCCAAUUGAAAGGAUUGAGAGAAGAGAUAAAGCUACAUACCUGCUUUGCAGUACUAGUUUGAUCCUCGGAUUCCAUCCUGCUUCGAAGAGCUUC
rnacentral:lncRNA from 1 species